rnacentral:lncRNA from 1 species
CAGGCCUCAGUGCUGGGGCCCCAGGUGCUAAAAUAUACCAGGUAGAACUCUUCCUGGCUCACCUGUCUGUGAACCCUCCCUCAUCUUUCCUCCAGGUAACUUCCAGGUCUGCAGACAAGAGAAGAUGAAGGAAGAGUGUCCAUCCAGCUCUCACGUGCCCAUCAGUGACAGCAAGUCUAUCCUUAAGUAAGCUUUGGUGUGUGGUAAAAGAGAUUUUGCAUCUCCUUUUGG